UACGUAGGUGACAAGCGUUGUCCGGAUUUACUGGGCGUAAAGAGCGCGCAGGCGGUCGCUCAAGUCGAGUGUGAAAGCCCCCGGCUCAACUGGGGAGGGUCACGCGAUACUGAUCGACUCGAAGGCAGGAGAGGGAAGUGGAAUUUCCGGUGUAGCGGUGAAAUGCGUAGAGAUCAGGAAGAACACCGGUGGCGAAAGCGUUCUGCUAGACCUGUACUGACACUGAGGGACGAAAGCUAGGGGAGCGAAUGGG
rnacentral:rRNA from 1 species